rnacentral:rRNA from 1 species
CGUAGGGUGCGAGCGUUGUCCGGAAUUAUUGGGCGUAAAGAGCUCGUAGGCGGUUUGUCACGUCUGCUGUGAAAUCCCGAGGCUCAACCUCGGGCCUGCAGUGGGUACGGGCAGACUGGAGUGCGGUAGGGGAGAUUGGAAUUCCUGGUGUAGCGGUGGAAUGCGCAGAUAUCAGGAGGAACACCGAUGGCGAAGGCAGAUCUCUGGGCCGUAACUGACGCUGAGGAGCGAAAGCGUGGGGAGCGAACAGGAUUAGAUACCCUGGUAGUCCACGCCGUAAACGUUGGGCGCUAGAUGUGGGGACCAUUCCACGGUUUCCGUGUCGUAGCUAACGCAUUAAGCGCCCCGCCUGGGGAGUACGGCCGCAAGGCUA